GCACCCUUAGCUCAGUUGGUAGAGCAACUGACUCUUAAUCAGUGGGUCGCGAGUUCGAGUCUCGCAGGGUGCACAA
rnacentral:tRNA from 1 species